AUUGAACGCUGGCGGCAGGCUUAACACAUGCAAGUCGAGCGGAGCGAGGGUGCUUGCACCUUAGCUUAGCGGCGGACGGGUGAGUAAUGCUUAGGAAUCUGCCUAUUAGUGGGGGACAACAUUCCGAAAGGAAUGCUAAUACCGCAUACGCCCUACGGGGGAAAGCAGGGGAUCUUCGGACCUGGCGCUAAUAGAUGAGCCUAAGUCGGGUUAGCUAGUUGGUGGGGUAAAGGCCUACCAAGGCGACGAUCUGUAGCGGGUCUGAGAGGAUGAUCGGCCACACUGGGACUGAGACACGGCCCAGACUCCUACGGGAGGCAGCAGUGGGGAAUAUUGGACAAUGGGCGGAAGCCUGAUCCAGCCAUGCCGCGUGUGUGAAGAAGGCCUUUUGGUUGUAAAGCACUUUAAGCGAGGAGGAGGCUCUUAAGGUUAAUACCCUUGAUGAGUGGACGUUACUCGCAGAAUAAGCACCGGCUAACUCUGUGCCAGCAGCCGCCGUAAUAC
rnacentral:rRNA from 1 species